GGAAAGCCCGUGGCUCAGUGGUAGAGCAUCUGCCUAGAGAGCAGAAGGUCCUGGGUUCAAUUCCUAGCAUCUCCA